ACGGAGGUGGCUAGCGUUACUCGGAAUCAUUGGGUGUAAAGGGCAAGUAGGCGGUCUAUUAAGUGAGGGGUGAAAUCUCCCGGCUCAAUCGGGAAUGUGCCUUUCAAACUGGUAGACUUGAGGUCAGAAGGGGGAAACGGAAUUAGCGGUGUAAGGGUGAAAGGUGUAGAUAUCGCUAAGAACACCGGCGGCGAAAGCGGUUUACUGGUCUAGUACUGACACUAACUUGCGAAAGCUAGGGGAGCAAAUGG
rnacentral:rRNA from 1 species